rnacentral:rRNA from 1 species
UACAGAGGUCCCAAGCGUUGUUCGGAUUCACUGGGCGUAAAGGGUGCGUAGGUGGUUGCGCAAGUCUGAUGUGAAAUCUCCGGGCUCAACCCGGAAAUGGCAUUGGAAACUGCGUGGCUAGAGGGUUGGAGGGGGGACUGGAAUACUUGGUGUAGCAGUGAAAUGCGUAGAUAUCAAGUGGAACACCAGUGGCGAAGGCGAGUCCCUGGACAACACCUGACACUGAGGCACGAAAGCGUGGGGAGCAAACAGG